GGCCGGGUGUGCGGCUAAUACAAGACCCGCGAGGGGAAUACGCCCGCCGCUCUUCUGACGGUUGCUAGCACCCGGCCGCCCACGG
rnacentral:ncRNA from 1 species